rnacentral:rRNA from 1 species
UACGGAGGGUGCAAGCAUUAAUCGGAUUUAUUGGGCGUAAAGAGCUCGUAGGCGGCUUGUCGCGUCGGCUGUGAAAACCUGGGGCUCAACCCCGGGCCUGCAGCCGAUACGGGCAAGCUAGAAUUCGGUAGGGGAGACUGGAGUUCCUGGUGUAGCGGUGAAAUGCGCAGAUAUCAGGAGGAACACCGGUGGCGAAGGCGGGUCUCUGGGCCGAAAUUGACGCUGAGGAGCGAAAGCGCGGGGAGCAAACAGG